GCGGGAAUAGCUCAGUUGGUAGAGCACGACCUUGCCAAGGUCGGGGGCGCGAGUUCGAGUCUCGUUUCCCGCU
rnacentral:tRNA from 4 species